AUCCAGUUAUUUGCAAGCUCGAUAUCGAAACCGAAAGGAAAUAACCACACAGAAUGUCAUGUGUGCUUGUUCAUUCGAUAUGCGUUUCACGUUUGUGUACGCGGGUUGGGAAGGUAGUGCACAUGAUGCUAGAGUCUUUGAAGCUGCAAGAGCAGAUCCAUCUUUAGGUUUUCCUCAUCCACCUCCAGGUAAGUAUUAUGUUGUGGACUCAGGUUAUGCAAACCAACUUGGGUACUUAACACCGUUUAGAGGAGAAAGGUAUCACUUACCGGACUUUCAGGGAGCGCGUAGGGGAGCAAGAACGGCUAAAGAAUUGUUCAACCACAGGCAUUCCUCUAUAAGAAAUGUUAU